rnacentral:rRNA from 1 species
GAUGAACGCCGACAGAAUGCUUAACACAUGCAAGUCUACUUGAUCCUUCGGGUGAUGGUGGCGGACGGGUGAGUAACGCGUAAAGAACUUGCCCUGCAGUCUGGGACAACAUUUGGAAACGAAUGCUAAUACCGGAUAUUAUGUGAGUUUCGCAUGAAAUUCAUAUGAAAGAUAUAUGCGCUGCAGGAGAGCUUUGCGUCCUAUUAGCUAGUUGGUGAGGUAACGGCUCACCAAGGCGAUGAUAGGUAGCCGGCCUGAGAGGGUGAACGGCCACAAGGGGACUGAGACACGGCCCUUACUCCUACGGGAGGCAGCAGUGGGGAAUAUUGGACAAUGGACCAAAAGUCUGAUCCAGCAAUUCUGUGUGCACGAUGAAGUUUUUCGGAAUGUAAAGUGCUUUCAGUUGGGACGAAGUAAGUGACGGUACCAACAGAAGAAGCGACGGCUAAAUACGUGCCAGCAGCCGCGGUAA